rnacentral:lncRNA from 10 species
CACAAAAAUCAAAAUGAGAAAGAGAAAGAGAGAGAGAGAGAGAAAGAGAAUGAAUGGGAGGAAGGAAAGAUGAAACAGAUAAGAGUUCUUGGGGUCGUUUUUUUUGUUUUGUUUUGUUUUCUGAGACUUCAUGUUCCCACCAGUGUGGGUUCUUUCCCCAGCCAGCCAGUCCCAGAAUGUUUGGCGGCAGGACAAGGCCAGAGUCUCAGGCCAUGGGAAUCUCUGACCAAGUUGCAGGGAGGAAGAAGAAAGGCAGUUAGAGAGUUAGAGACUAUGAAAAGGAGGUGGAGGAGGAGGGGAGCCAGCCUGGAGUCUGAGAGAAGAAUCCAGGCGCCACGGUGUAACAGCUGCCUCAGGCCCCAGGAACUCACGGUGAUGAAGACUUAGGACACGUGGUAACUACU